rnacentral:sRNA from 1 species
UUGAGGACGACCUCAGCCUGACAUGCACCACUUUUCAUCGACAGGUAUUCACAUCGGGGACGGCCCC